GCUAAUCCAUGAAAUUACACUUUACACUUUGUCUAAGUCGUUAGUGGAGCGUGUGUGGUUAACCGGCACACUAACUUGGACUUAACAAGGUAGGUAAAGGGUGACUUAAUAUUUAUCAUAGUAUCGAUGGAGCGUGUGUGGUUAACCGGCACAUCGAUUGAGGGGUAAUUUAUUAAGGGUACCAAGUGAUUUGCAUGGUUACUUCACACCUUGUUUUGUGAUCCUCGGCAUCCCAGUCACAAAACCUGAAGGGCACACUCGAGAUUGAAACAUGCCUUUGAAAAGUUCAAUGAAUCUCAAAGAUCUAGGAGUUUCAAAACCAAUUAAAACCUAAUAAUACAUUUCGUUUAUCUUGGUGGAAAUUGGUGAAUCGUCAUUCACCUACCUUCAAAUAUUUUAUAGCUUGGAUUACGGCAUACCUCUUCUAAGUUAUAAAAUAGUUUGUUGGGUCCUAGCCUUAAUAUUUCAUAUUGGGUGUCAUAUUAAGGACUUUAAAUCAACUAUCUUGAAUAUCUCCCAAAAGAUGUCUGGUUUAGACACCUAUGAUCUUCCCAAAUCUCUUGAAACAAGGUUUCCUAAUGAAGAUGAUGUCCCAUGGAUAUCAUACUUCUUCACCUCUUCAAAUUAUUCUCCCUAACCCACAAGUUCUUGAAAAGUUUAAGGUCACUCAGGCCCUAUUNAGUCAAGCCGGAACUCGUCGAGUUGUUCUUGAGACUCGGCGAGUUGAGUCGUGGUGGCCCCGCGAUUCAUGCCAGGUGGAACUCGUCGAGUUAAGGAAGUACUCGACGUGUCAAGAGAGGAUCCGAGGGAGUUAGUGAACACGUAUAGACUCGCCGAGUCGCUCUAGUGCACUCGCCGAGUACGGUCAAAGUUGACCGUUGACCGUUGACCAGUGUUGACUUGAUAGGGUUAGUCAACCUUAGUUGUGAAAGUGUUAAUUAGAGAUAUAUUGUAUUAUAGGAGGACUAUAGCUCGGGGGAUCGAGCACGAGUGAUUUCAGGGAUUUGCGAGUUAUCGAGAUACGUGAGGUGAGUCUUCUCACUAUACCUUACCUUGAGUGGGUAAUCAGAGUUAUGUGACAGAGUAUUUGUAUGCUAUAUGUAUGUUAUGUGUUGUACUGCAUUAUUUCUAUGUGAUUUAUGAUGUACAUGAUUAUAGAGUUGGAACCGGAAGGUUCACAGAGUUAGAACCAGAGGGUUCAUAGAGUGGGGUCCACGGACCCACAGAGUUAUAGCCUCGAGUGGCUAAUAUGUGCUAUGUAUGGUAUUUUGGGGAAACCACUAACCUUUGUGCUUAUAUUGUUUGGUGUUAUUUGUUUCAGGUGCUAGUGCUGACCGUGGGAAGGCGUCGGCUUGAUCAGUACGCACACAUGGGAUUUUUUAUGUUAUGAGAUCUUGGGAUUUUUAUAUGGCAUGGAUUGAGUUUCAAACAUUGAUGUUUUUAUGAAUAUUAAAUGAAUUAUGUUUUUAUAAAAUGCGAAAAAUUGUUUUUGAAAUUUACGGUGUUGCAAGUUGGUAUCAAAGCCUUGGUUUGAGGGAUUCGAGUACACCUUCGGGCGUAUUGGAACCCAAACUGAGGAUUUGAGAAAUAUUUUCAAAAAGAGUAAAAGAGUUUUGGAAAAACGCAUAGCAGAGUUAUGUGUACGAUCAAUCCACGCCCGAACGAUGAUUUCCCAAGAUACCCUCAUGUUAUGUGUUAUGAUAUUGAUAUGAUGUAUUCUCAUGCUAGAGAAGGCUAUGUACUCCUAUUAGGACUAAAGUGGCCUGAUUUGUGAUGCCUUAGCCUAGGGAGAAGGGAGCUGCUAUGAGAUGCUUGAGAGUGAGUAAGUAGCAACGAGGAGCUUAUGAGAGAUCUGUUACAGAGAGGUUUAUGCCUAAUAGAGUACCUGGAACUUGGGAUCCGAAGAGGAGGACUUGGGGUGUAUUCUGAUAUGGUGCGGAUAGUAGUAUUGGGCCUGUACUACUGAAAGCACCGGGGCGGUGUACAACCCAAGUAAGAAUCUUUGGAAUGCCAAGGAUCAAGGAGGAAUGAGUUGUCGAGUGUGAGUAUGCUCGAAUGGAUUCUAAUUUAUCGUAUGUUGUAUUUCAGAGGUAGAUCAUGGUGAGGACACGUCUUAUGCCAGAGAGCAGUGGGGCCAGUGAUGACGAGAUCCGCUGGAUCAUCCAUGAGGAGGUGGUUGCGGCCAUCAGGGCAGAGAUACCAGAGAUGUUCGGGUCUAUUAAGACCACGUUGAUUGAGACUUUCGACGAGCAUUAUGCUGCUCUUUCUGAGGCUUCUGUUGCACUGGGCACCGCAACAAUUGCUACCGCGACGCCACAGGGUGGCGAUGCAUUAUUGUUCCGAGAGUUCAGCAACACAAAACCGCCAGAGUUUGAUGGGACCCAGGACCCGGUGGCGGCUAUGAUAUGGAUUUCAGACAUAGAGGGGUGUUUCUUCACUUGCUCAUCUCCUGAGCAUUUGAGAGUUCGGUUCGCGCUGAACCAGCUUCGCUUGGGAGCGAAGGACUGGUGGAAGUUUGUGACAGCGCACUUUACGCCUGCUGAGCUUGCGGCAGUGACCUGGGAGAGGUUCACUGCCAUGUUCCGAGAUGAGUAUGUUCCCCAGGUGGAGAGGGAGCAUUUGUCCCAGGAGUUUCUGACCCUCAAGCAGGGUACUAAGUAUGUUACGGUGAUUACCAGGAUGUUCCACGAGAGGGAGAUGUUCUGCCCUGAGCAUGUGUCCACUGAGCAGGCACGUAUGAGCCGAUAUUUGAGUAUCUUGAGGCGAGACAUUCGGGAGUUUGUGGCAAACUCCUCGUACCGGACAUUUGCCGAGCUACAGGAAAAUGCCCGGAAUAGGGAGAUUGAGCUAGAGACUCAGGCUAGGGAGGAGGCGGAGUCUCAGGGGAGGGAUCGGCGACCAGCACAGUCCCAGCCGGUAGCCAAGCGGGCCAACCCCGCUGAUCCCAAAUCAGGGAGCUAGAAGGGCCGCACUUAUGGAAAGUGCGGCAAGGGUCAUUAUGGAGUUUGUAGAGCUGGAUCUUCCUACAAGUGUGGCAAGGAGGGUCAUAUGGCCAAGGACUGCCCCAAGGGGUUUGUAGUGUGUUUUCACUGCAACUAGACCGGACACCGGAAGGCGGAGUGUCCGCAGUUGCGGGGAUCAGCUUAGGGAGCACCUCAGGGAUCUGUGAAGGCCGAGGUGUCGAGGGCACGACGGAGAGCUUUUCAUUUGACCGCGGAGGAGGUCCGCGCAGCGCCCGAUGUCGUGGCUGGUAUGUAUUCUUUCAUGUAUUUAUUUUGAUGUUGAGAUAUUAUGCUUAUAUUAUGUUAUGUGUAGGUACUUUUCUUGUGAAUUUUGUACCUGCCUUGGUGUUAUUUGACUCGGGUGCGAGUCGGUCUUUUGUAUCUUUGGCUUUUAGUCAGCAUAUAAGUGUUAGUCGCAAGGCGCUGAGUCAGCCUCUGAGAGUUUCCAUAGCUGACGAGAGGGUGAUAUAUGCCACGGAGGUGAUCCGUGGGUGCGUAUUCGAGAUUUUCAGUGUUGAGUUCCCGAUCGAUUUGGUUCCUAUUGCGAUGGGUGAUGUAUGUGUCAUUGUGGGCAUGGACUGGUUGAGCAGAUUCGGUGCGGUUAUCAACUGCGAGUGACAGUAGGUGACCAUACGAGACCCUAGUGGGGGAGUUCUUACGGUGUACGGCGUGGGUACACAUUCUGGGUCAGCGUUUUGUUCGGCUGCUAGGGUGAGGCAGUGUCUACAAUAGGGCUAUAAGGGUUCUGUGGCGUAUGUGAUGGAUAUGCGGGUUGAUUCCGAGAGGCCAAGAUCAGUUGAGGAGGUUUCGAUAGUGCGUGAGUUCCCGGAUGUAUUUCCAGAGGAGUUGCCGGGUGUGCCUACCGUGAGGCAAGUGGAGUUCAGUAUCGAUUUGGUUCCGGGGGCCGCGCCUAUCGCCAAGGUGCCUUAUCGCCUUGCACCUCCAGAGAUGCAAGAGUUGUCCUCGCAGCUUCAGGAGCUGCUGGGAAAGGGUUUUAUUCGGCCGAGCAGCUUGCUGUGGGGAGCGCCUGUCCUUUUUGUCAAGAAGAAGGAUGGUUCACACCGGAUGUGGAUUGAUUACCGGGAGUUGAACAAGUUGACGGUCAAGAAUCGUUACCCAUUGCCGAGGAUCGACGAUUUGUUCAAUCAGUUGCAGGGAGCAUCUUGGUUCUCCAAGAUCGAUUUGAGGUCUGGAUAUCAUCAGGUGAGGGUGUGAGAUGAGGACAUCCAGAAGACAGCGUUCAGGACGCGUUAUGGGCAUUAUGAGUUUGUGGUGAUGCCUUUCGGGCUCACCAACGCCCCGGUAGUGUUCAUGGAUCUCAUGAAGCGAGUGUGCAGGCCGAUGCUGGAUCGGUCGGUGAUUGUAUUCAUCGACGAUAUUUUGGUAUAUUCGAGAUCUAGAGAGCAGCACGAGGAGCAUUUGAGGGAGAUCCUUAAAGUUCUGAGAUCGAAGAGGCUUUAUGCCAAAUUCUCCAAGUGUGAUUUCUGGUUGCGAGAGGUCCAGUUCCUGGGUCAUCUCGUUAACCAGAAAGGGAUAUUGGUCGACCCAGCCAAAGUUGAGGCGGUGAUGAGUUGGGAGGUGCCGAGGUCACCCUCCGAGAUCAGGAGUUUCUUUGGUUUGGCAGGUUAUUAUCGGAGAUUUAUCAAGGAUUUCUCUAAGAUUGCAGUGCCACUCACCAGAUUGACCCAGAAGGGUGUCGCUUUUUCAUGGGGCGCCGAGCAGCAGGCCUCCUUUGAGACGCUUUGCCAAAGGUUAUGCGAAGCCCCGGUGUUAGCCCUCCCAGAGGGGAUGGAGGACUUUGUGGUAUACUGUGAUGUGUCGAUCUUGGGGUUGGGAGCGGUGCUAAUGCAGAGAGGGCAUGUGAUAGCAUACGCAUCGAGCCAGCUGAAGCCACAUGAGACAAGGUAUCCCACCCAUGAUCUAGAGUUGGGGGAAGUGGUGUUCGCCCUCAAAAUUUGGCAUUACUAUCUGUAUGCGGUUCGGUGUACGAUAUACACAGACCAUAAGAGCCUGAAGUAUUUGAUGGAUCAUCCCAACCUAAAUAUGCGGUAGAGGAGGUGGUUGGAUGUGGUCAAGGAUUAUGAUUGUGAGAUAUUGUACCAUCCGGGNCGUAGGGUUAAGGCCGAGCACCAGAGACCGCAUGGUAAGUUGCAGCCGUUGGAGGUUCCCGAAUGGAAGUGGGAACAGAUUACCAUGGAUUUUAUCACCAAAUUGCCAAGGACUGCUAGGGGAGUCGAUGCAAUUUGGGUGAUUAUGGACAAAUUGACAAAGAGCGCCCACUUCCUUGCUAUCAGUGAGAGCUCCUCCGCAGAGAAGUUAGCAGAGAUGUACGUGAGGGAAGUAGUAUCUCGGCAUGGGGUGCCGAUCUCGAUUGUUUCAGAUCAGGAUGUACGUUUCACUUCCAGAUUCUGGAAGAAGUUUCACGAGGAGUUGGGUACUAAGCUGCAUUUUAAUACCACAUAUCACCCCAGACAGACGGACAGAGUGAGCGGACGAUUCAGACGCUUGAGGACAUGCUCCGGGCAUGUGUGUUGGAUUUCGGGGGGAGUUGGGAUACGUAUUUGCCCUUGGCAGAGUUUUCCUACAACAACAGCCAUCAUUCGAGCAUUGGUAUGCCACCCUUUGAGUUGUUGUAUGGGGGGAGGUGUCGGACCCCCAUUUGCUGGGGAGAGGUUAGACAGCGUGUGAUGGGAAAUACAGAGAUCGUGCUUCAGACGACAGAGCAGAUCCAACAGGUCAGACAGAGGUUGUUGACCGCUCAGAGUCGUUAGAAGAGUUAUGCGGACAGACGUCGGUCCGAGCUUGAGUUUCAGGUCGAUGACUUUGUGCUCCUGAAGGUCUCUCCUUGGAAAGGAGUGAUUCGAUUCAGGAAAAGGGGCAAGUUGGGUCCCCGAUAUAUUGGUUCAUUCCGGGUGGUCGCGAGGGUAGGUAGGGUAGCCUAUCGUUCGGAGUUGCCAGCAGAGUUGGGGCAGAUUCACGACACUUUCCACGUGUCGCAAUUGCGGAAGUGUAUAGCCGAUGAGUCGGCGAUGGUACCAUUAGAGGAUAUUCAGGUGGAUGCGAGCCUGAAUUAUGCUGAGAGACCGGUGGCAAUCAGAGAUCGAAAAAUCAAGGUUUUGAGGAACAAGGAGGUACCCUUGGUUUUGGUUCAGUGGCAGCAUCGGAAGGGGUCCGAGAUGACAUGGGAGCCGGAGCGUGAGAUGCGUGAGCAGCAUCCGGAGAUUUUUGCAGAGCCAGACUUUGAGGGCGAAGUCUAGUUCUAGUGGGGGAGAAUUGUGACACCCCGGAUUCCCAGGUAUUAUUUAUUCUUGUAUUUUUGGUGGUUUGUGAGGAGACUCGGCGACUUGGAGCCCAAACUCGCCGAGUAGGAUCGUGGUUUUGGGCAUGUGUUCGCAUCUGGACUCGGUGAGUCUACGCAGUUUAGUGAAACCCUAAUUCCCCAGGUUUGGAGCCUAUUUAAGGGCACUUAUAGCCUCCCAUUGCGGCUACCAGUCCCUUGAGAGAACCCUAAGAGAGCUAAAUCGCUUUGAGAGAGAAGAAGUCACUUUUGGAUCUUUGUAUCCUUUGUUUAGCAAGAAGAGGGUGACAAGAGCAAGGAGGAGGUGAGAUUCAAGCAGAUCCAGAGUCCAGAGGCUUCAUUUUGAGGUAAUAGUUCGAAUCUCCUUCAGUUUUAGGGUUGAUCUUUAGAGUUAGGGUUUUCUAACCCAUUUGGAGAAUGAUUAUGUGAAGCAAAUGGUCCCUCUUCGAGUUUGUGCCGUGGAUCUGGACUCAAAGAGUUCCAGAGACCUUAACCCUUGGAGCUUUUUGGGUUAGUAUGGAGUUAUUGGACUUAGGUUGUUAUUUUUGGGACCAAAUCUCCUUUUUAUGCCUUGUUGUGGUUAUACAAGCAUCAAGUUUCGAACUUUACGUGACAUUCAUGCUUGGGAAGGCCAGAUCUACGGUUUGGGGAAACAGAUCUGACCUCAGGAAGUCAAUAGAGUUUGUGCAUGGCAUGAACUCGCCGAGUUAUUCUUGAGACUCGGCGAGUAGGAUUUGGGUUUCACGUAAAUUGUUCAGCGAGUAGACUCGCCGGGUUGGGGGAUGACCCAGUGAGUCAGGGAGAGUCAAAGUGGGGCUGUCUCAAGCCGGAACUCGCCGAGUUAUUCUUGAUACUCGGCGAGUUGAGUCGUGGUGGCCCCGCGAUUCAUGCCAGGUGGAACUCAUCGAGUUAAGGAAGUACUCGCCGUGUCAAGAGAGGAUCCGAGGGAGUCAGUGAACACGUAUAGACUCGCCAAGUCCGGUCAAAGUUGACCGUUGACCGUUGACCAGUGUUAACUUGAUAGGGUUAGUCAACCUUAGUUGUGAAAGUGUUAAUUAGAGAUAUAUUGUAUUAUAGCAGGACUAUAGCUCGGGGGAUCGAGCAUGAGUGAUUUCAGGGAUUUGCAAGUUAUCGAGAUACGCGAGGUGAGUCUUCUCACUAUACCUUACCUUGAGUAGGUAAUCAGAGUUAUGUGACAGAGUAUUUGUAUGCUAUAUGUAUGUUAUGUGUUGUACUGCAUUAUUUCUAUGUGAUUUAUGUUGGAAUCGGAAGGUUCAUAGAGUUAGAACCAGAGGGUUCACAGAGUGGGGUCCACGGACCCACAGAGUUAUAGCCUCGAGUGGCUAAUAUGUGCUAUGUGUGGUAUUUUGGGGAACUCACUAAGCUUUGCGCUUACAGUAUUUGGUGUUAUUUAUUUCAGGUGCUAGUGAUGACCGUGCGAAGCGCCGACUUGAUCAGUACACACACACACGGGAUUUUUUAUGUUAUGAGAUCUUGGGAUUUUUAUAUGGAAUGGAUUGAGUUUUAAACAUUGAUGUUUUUAUUAUUAUUAAAUGAAUUAUGUUUUUAUAAAAUGCAAAAAAUUGUUUUUGAAAUUUACGGUGUUACAGGUGGAGGGUCGUUAGCCGAACGAGUUUGACAGGACUAUAAUUCUCCCUUCAUUAAAAGUAUUAAUGAUAAAUAUUAUGUAACUAAACUCUUAAUAAUACCNUUACUUAGGAAAAAUGUGAAUAAGGUGCUAAUCCAUGAAAUUACACUUUACACUUUGUCUAAGUCGUUAGUGGAGCGUGUGUGGUUAACCGGCACACUAACUUGGACUUAACAAGGUAGGUAAAGGGUGACUUAAUAUUUAUCAUAGUAUCGAUGGAGCGUGUGUGGUUAACCGGCACAUCGAUUGAGGGGUAAUUUAUUAAGGGUACCAAGUGAUUUGCAUGGUUACUUCACACCUUGUUUUGUGAUCCUCGGCAUCCCAGUCACAAAACCUGAAGGGCACACUCGAGAUUGAAACAUGCCUUUGAACAGUUCAAUGAAUUCAAAAGAUCUAGGAGUUUCAAAUCCAAUUAAGACCUAAUUAUACAUUUCAUUUAUCUUGGUGGAAAUUGGUGAAUCGUCAUUCACCUACCUUCAAAUAUUUUAUAGCUUGGAUUACGGCAUACCUCUUCUAAGUUAUAAAAUAGUUUGUUGGGUCCUAGCCUUAAUAUUUCAUAUUGGGUGUCAUAUUAAGGACUUUAAAUCAACUAUCUUGAAUAUC
rnacentral:lncRNA from 1 species